GCCGGGCUGAUCUUGGGUGGUCCUGAGGGCAGACUUCAAAUCUGUGGACGAGGAGACUCGUAGUGGUUCGAUUCCACCUGACCGGCG